rnacentral:lncRNA from 1 species
CCCAGUCUCUAACAGGUCCCUUCCCAGCCUCCAGAGCAAGCCAAUCAGGGACACGCUCUCGUGGCCCAGUUCGGAAACAAUGCUUGGUGGGAACCUGCAAUCUUGGCUGCCGGAACCUUCGGGGAGGAUUAACGCCGGCGCACCGUGCGGCCGGGGCGGGGCGCCGCCCAAACUCAGGCCCUGUGACAGCGACUGUGGCGGUCUGGAAAGCGUGGGCCUCGGUCAUUGGGCACGAGCGGUCACGUGACAGCGGGUUCCUCCAGGCCAGCGCUGGUGGUUGAGUGAUGUAAUCACGUGGGGUCUGAAGUCUUCGUGGGUGUAGGUUUCUUCGUUAUGCUGACGACAGGCAGUGCCCGAACUCUAGGCUGGGAGUUGUGCCAUGCUGCUGCUUUCGUGGGCUGACCAGAAAAGGGUAGAAGGAUUGACGUUUACGAAGUUUUUGAAUCAGGAGGCAAGGUCGCCUUGUGCCCCCAAAAGGAUAGAAAAAGGCCUGGCAAACUGGAGAAUCGCGUCCUUACGGUGCCUACAUAUUUAUAGUAUCCUGUGUUUUCCAGUUGAAAGCUUGUGAAAAUUCGCUUUAUCCUUGAAGUUCAGAAUUUUCACCAGGAUGUAUGAAGACCCUGUCCUCGAUGGAUCAGCUGGCACCACCCAGAUGGAUAAACUGGCUCAUCUGAUCUUGUGGCCCCCAUCCAGGAAGUGACUCAGUGUAAGAAGACAGCUUCAACUCCCUAUGAUUUCAUCUCUGACCAAUCAGCACUCUCGGCUCACUGGCUUCCUCCAACCC